rnacentral:pre_miRNA from 1 species
CAAUCUAAGUCUGAUCCAAAGCCCAGUGAAGUCAGUGGAAGCCUUUCCAUUGACUUCAACGGGCUGUGGAUUAGGCCUUGUUG